rnacentral:pre_miRNA from 1 species
CGUUUAUGACGCCGUUGAUUUUUUCUCACAUGUUUGACCAUUCGUCUUGUUCAAAAAAUUUUGUUAUGAGUUGUUUUAUCACUCAUAGUACUUUAAGUGUGAUUUAUAUCUUAUACAUUUGCAUAAAAUUUUUGAAUAAGACGAAUGGUCAAACAUGUGAGAAAAAGUCAACAGUGUCAUCUAUU